UACGGGGGGGGCAAGCGUUGUUCGGAAUUAUUGGGCGUAAAGGGCGCGUAGGCGGCUUGGCAAGUGGAUGGUGAAAUCCCUCGGCUUAACCGAGGAACUGCCGUCCAAACUGCUUUGCUUGAGACCGGGAGAGGUGAGUGGAAUUCCCAGUGUAGCGGUGAAAUGCGUAGAUAUUGGGAGGAACACCAGUGGCGAAGGCGGCUCACUGGACCGGUACUGACGCUGAGGCGCGAAAGCGUGGGGAGCAAACGGG
rnacentral:rRNA from 1 species